rnacentral:rRNA from 1 species
UACGUAGGGUGCGAGCGUUGUCCGGAAUUAUUGGGCGUAAAGAGCUUGUAGGCGGUUUGUCGCGUCUGCUGUGAAAAUCCGGGGCUCAACCCCGGACUUGCAGUGGGUACGGGCAGACUAGAGCGUGGUAGGGGAGACUGGAAUUCCUGGUGUAGCGGUGAAAUGCGCAGAUAUCAGGAGGAACACCGAUGGCGAAGGCAGGUCUCUGGGCCACUACUGACGCUGAGAAGCGAAAGCAUGGGGGAGCGAACAGG